rnacentral:rRNA from 1 species
UGGGGAAUAUUGGACAAUGGGCGAAAGCCUGAUCCAGCCAUGCCGCGUGUGUGAAGAAGGUCUUCGGAUUGUAAAGCACUUUAAGUUGGGAGGAAGGGCAGUAAGCGAAUACCUUGCUGUUUUGACGUUACCGACAGAAUAAGCACCGGCUAACUCUGUGCCAGCAGCCGCGGUAAUACAGAGGGUGCAAGCGUUAAUCGGAAUUACUGGGCGUAAAGCGCGCGUAGGUGGUUCGUUAAGUUGAAUGUGAAAGCCCCGGGCUCAACCUGGGAACUGCAUCCCAAACUGGCGAGCUAGAGUAGGGCAGAGGGUGGUGGAAUUUCCUGUGUAGCGGUGAAAUGCGUAGAUAUAGGAAGGAACACCGGUGGCGAAGGCGGCCACCUGGGCUCAUACUGACACUGAGGUGCGAAAGCGUGGGGAGCAAACAGG